rfam:Verticillium albo-atrum VaMs.102 supercont1.10 genomic scaffold, whole genome shotgun sequence.
UUCCGAUUAGUCUAGUGGUUAGGAUAUCGGCUUGUCACCUUCACCAAAGGAAACAUUCGCCGGGGACCGGGGUUCAAUUCCCCGAUCGGAAG